ensembl:misc_RNA 7SK 7SK RNA
GGAUGUGAGGGCGAUCUGGCUGUGACAUCUGUCACCCCUUUGAUCGCCAGAGUUGAUUUGGCUGUUCUGGCUGGUUAGGCCGGUGUCCCCUUCCUCCCCCACCCCUCCCUAUGUGUCCCUCCGAAGCUGUGCACUCAGCUUGAAGAGGACGACCUUCCCAUAUAGAGGAGGACCGUUCCUAGCUCCCCUGCUAGAACCUCCAAGCAAUCUCUCUAUCCUUAAAAACAGCAGUACUGAAAAGACGGAUGUGUAGUGCCUUGGUUUAUCACAACUCAGAAUUUAGCCAAAUAGGCUUAGAUGC